CCGGGCGUAGUGCAGUGGCCGUCACGCCUCGAUCGCAUCGAGGAGGACGCCGGUUCGAAUCCGGCCGCCCGGG
rnacentral:tRNA from 1 species